ensembl:snoRNA
UCCAUGGUUACAUGAUGAAACAUGUGUUGGUAGGGACAUCUGAAUGAAUGUGAUGAAAAUCCAACACCCCUGACUCCAUGGA